UGGAUAUGAUGACUGAUUACCUGAGAAAUAAUUGAUGAAAUAUCAAGAAAAAAAAUAUUUUAACAGUUUCUUUUUUUUUCCAC
ensembl:snoRNA